GCUAGGCAUGGUGGUGCAUGCCUGUAAUCCCAGCUACUCAGGAGACUGUGGCAGGAGGAUCACGAGUUAGAGGCUAGCCUUGCAAUUUAGUGAGAGCCUGUCUCAA
rnacentral:sRNA from 1 species